GUUUUGACAUUUUAUCAAGCGGUUCUGCAACAUUUAGUGUCUCUCUAUGGAGUGGUGGGAGUCAUGCCCAUUGAUGACAGCAUUGUGGCUCCCUAGGUUAAACUUUUGUUCGAAAAAUGGUGGCUGGUUAUGUUCAAAGAUGGUGGGGAGAUUGCUGGUCUCUGUCUACUAAACCCCAUGUAUUGAACCCCUGUCACAAUGAGACUUCAUGCCCGGCUCCAAACCAUAAACAAACCAUAAACACAGCAUAUUCAGCCAUCAAUAAAAUAAAGGGAAUGGAAAUUGUGUUUUUUGCAAACAAAACAAGGGGUGUGUCACCAUUUCUGCCCCUGUAGACUAGC